UGUCCCCUGUGGAGUUUGUUACGGUUAUAUAUUCUUUGAACCGAUAAUCAUCUUACCCGGAGAUUUGCUAAAAGAAAUCUGUUGUGCGCAUCCCAUGGGACGUGCCUGAUGAUUUCGGCAGGUCACCACUCUUGAAGAGCCUGGGUUCAAGAUGCUAACCGGACGGCUCAACGGGGGAUUU
rnacentral:other from 1 species